rnacentral:rRNA from 1 species
UGGGGAAUAUUGCGCAAUGGGCGAAAGCCUGACGCAGCGACGCCGCGUGGGGGAUGAAGCUUCUCGGAGUGUAAACCCCUUUCGACCCGGACGAAUGACCCGCAAGGGUUUGACGGUACGGGUAUAAGAAGCCCCGGCUAACUACGUGCCAGCAGCCGCGGUAAUACGUAGGGGGCCAGCGUUGCUCGGAAUUACUGGGCGUAAAGGGUUCGUAGGUGGUGCGGCAAGUUGGAAGUGAAAUCUCUGGGCUUAACCCAGAGGCUGCUUUCAAAACUGCCGUGCUCGAGUGCGAGAGAGGCCAGUGGAAUUGCAGGUGUAGCGGUGAAAUGCGUAGAUAUCUGCAGGAACACCCGUGGCGAAGGCGGCUGGCUGGAUCGCAACUGACACUGAGGAACGAAAGCUAGGGGAGCAAACAGGAUUAGAUACCCUGGUAGUCCUAGCCCUAAACCAUCAGGACUUGGGGUGGCCCGCGUAGGCGGGUCGUCCCGUAGCUAACGCGUUAAGUCCUGCGCCUGGGGAGUACGGUCGCAAGACUG